GAAACUGCCCAGACACCUACGGGUGGCUGCAGUCGAGAAUCUUUGGCAAUGGACGCAAGUCUGACCAAGCGACGCCGCGUGUGGGAUGAAGGCCCUUGGGUUGUAAACCGCUGUCAGGGGGGAGGAAAGCUUCGGCUUGACCGAGCCCCAGAGGAAGCACGGGCUAAGUACGUGCCAGCAGCCGCGGUAACACGUACUGUGCGAACGUUA
rnacentral:rRNA from 1 species